CCUACGGGUGGCUGCAGUGAGGAAUAUUGGUCAAUGGGCGCGAGCCUGAACCAGCCAAGUAGCGUGAAGGAUGACUGCCCUACGGGUUGUAAACUUCUUUUAUAAAGGAAUAAAGUGAGGCACGUGUGCCUUUUUGUAUUUACUUUAUGAAUAAGAAUCGGCUCACUCCGUGCCAGCAGCCGCGGUAAUACGGAGGAUCCGAGCGUUAGCCGGAUUUAUUGGGUUUAAAGGGAGCGUAGAUGGGUUGUUAAGUCAGUUGUGAAAGUUUGCGGCUCAACCGUAAAAUUGCAAUUGAUACUGGCAGCCUUGAGUACAGUUGAGGUAGGCGGAAUGCGUGGUGUAGCGGUGAAAUGCUUAGAUAUCACGAAGAACUCCGAUUGCGAAGGCAGCUUACUAAACUGCCACUGACAUUGAUGCUCGAAAGUGUGGGUAUCAAACAGGAUUAGAUACCCUAGUAGUC
rnacentral:rRNA from 1 species